rnacentral:rRNA from 1 species
CGCGUAGGCGAUUGGGCAAGUCUCUUGUGAAAGCCCAGGGCUUAACUCUGGAAGUGCAGGAGAUACUGCUCAAUUUGAGUUCAGGAGAGGAAGGCAGAAUUCCCGGUGUAGCGGUGAAAUGCGUAGAUAUCGGGAGGAAUACCAGUGGCGAAGGCGGCCUUCUGGACUGACACUGACGCUGAGGCGCGAAAGCUAGGGGAGCAAACG